rnacentral:rRNA from 1 species
AACGAACGCUGGCGGCAGGCUUAACACAUGCAAGUCGAGCGCCCCGCAAGGGGAGCGGCAGCCGGGUGAGUAACGCGUGGGAAUCUACCCAUCUCUACGGAAUAACGCAUGGAAACGUGUGCUAAUACCGUAUACGUCCUUCGGGAGAAAGAUUUAUCGGAGAUGGAUGAGCCCGCGUUGGAUUAGCUAGUUGGUGGGGUAAAGGCCUACCAAGGCGACGAUCCAUAGCUGGUCUGCGAGGAUGAUCAGCCACACUGGGGCUGAGACACGGCCCAGACUCCUACGGGAGGCAGCAGUGGGGAAUAUUGGACAAUGGGCGCAAGCCUGAUCCAGCCAUGCCGCGUGAGUGAUGAAGGCCCUAGGGUUGUAAAGCUCUUUCACCGGUGAAGAUAAUGACGGUAACCGGAGAAGAAGCCCCGGCUAACUUCGUGCCAGCCGCCGCCGUAACAC